GAUGAACGCUGGCGGCGUGCCUAAUACAUGCAAGUCGAGCGAACGGACGAGAAGCUUGCUUCUCUGAUGUUAGCGGCGGACGGGUGAGUAACACGUGGCUAACCUACCUAUAAGACUGGGAUAACUUCGGGAAACCGGAGCUAAUACCGGAUUAUAUUUUGAACCGCAUGGUUCAAAAGUGAAAGACGGUCUUGCUGUCACUUAUCGAUGGAUCCGCGCUGCAUUAGCUAGUUGGUAAGGUAACGGCUUACCAAGGCAACGAUGUGUAGCCGACCUGAGAGGAGGAGAAGCCAGACGGGGACUGAGAAACGGCCCAGAGUCCAACGGGAGGGAGAAGUGGGGAAUUGUGGACAAAGGGGGUAAGCAUGAUCAAGCAAUGCGGCGUGUAUGAAGAAGGACUUAGGGUUGUAAAGUACUGUUGUUAGGGAAGAAAAGGCAGCGGUGAAUAAUGGCUGAUACUGACGGUACCUAAAGAAGAAGCACGGGCUAACUACGUG
rnacentral:rRNA from 1 species